AAGCCAGUUCUAGAAAAAUGGGAUAAAUGACAGUGAAAUUUGUGAUUUAUUUGAAAGUCGUACAGGUCUUGUCAGGACACAUUCAGCACAGUCUCUUAAACCUCCAUUAACGGUAGAAUCAUAGACUUACUCCAGAAACUAUGAUGGCCACAAGCUGCAUGCAAAAUGCUAACACUGGCAUUGACGACUAUGG